UACGUAGGGGGCUAGCGUUGUCCGGAAUCAUUGGGCGUAAAGAGCGCGUAGGCGGCCAGAUAAGUCCGGUGUGAAAGUCAAAGGCUCAACCUUUGAAUGCCGCUGGAAACUGUCUGGCUAGAGUCCGGGAGGGGCGAGUGGAAUUCCUGGUGUAGCGGUGAAAUGCGCAGAUAUCAGGAAGAACACCUAUGGCGAAGGCAGCUCUCUGGGACGGUACUGACGCUGAGA
rnacentral:rRNA from 1 species